AGAAAAGUAAGCUAAACAACAAGCUAAUGGGUUCAUACCCCAUAAAUAGAGCGAGACUCUCUUUUCUA
rnacentral:tRNA from 1 species